UUAUCUCUAUCGUGUAAGCUGCUGCAAAUUUUGUUCAGACGAACCUUUUGCACUUAAAACACGCGAAAAUAAACGUCACAUCAUAGGCCUUUGGUGGCAGUCUACCACAAUGUGGUGGUGUUAAACUACUGAACGUGCGUGGCAACUCACGUAGCAAUGACAAAUUUUCUUUUAUCAGUCCAGCAAUCCUAGAAAUAUUGUCGCACGAAGAGGGCAGCACAUGUCGCAUUCGCAACCAAUCAUAGGCCGAUAUCAUCGCAUGAUGCCGUCACGAGGAACAUCCUCUGCUCCCAUUUUUUCAUUCACGCACACGAUUAUUCUAAGCGGGAAAGCAGGAACCGAAGAACCGUGCUGUUCGCUCGCGAGUGGAGAUCGUCUACCUGUGAGGAUGGGUGGAAAUGUGGUUUCAUAGGCACAGCAAGGCUCCGUGCUUCAGCACUUCUAUUUGGGCCACCUCUUCAUUCAUUUCGCCGAAACGUGCUGAGUACUGAGCUUCCUCUACCGACAUGGAACAGAAAGCUGAGGACGACAAGCAGAUACGGCUGAAACAUGAACUUCUGUCUUACCUUGCAGCCAUACUACCAGCGGGAACAGAUGAAGCGGCGUUAUCACGGCGCAAUGAGCUGUUGUCCAAUUUAUUUAAGGAACUGAAACCUCAUUUUGCCUCUCUGAUGGCUGCUUCGAGUGCUUCAACAACUGUUCCGUCUAUCUCGCAAGUAACGCCAAGUACGUUGCAAUCGGAGCCCACCGAACGGCCAUCUGAUCAACAGUCAGCCCAACGACCACAAUGUGCAGCUCUUCCGGGCUGGGGAUUCAUGAUAACUACGCAAUCAGAUGAUCGCAAGGCCUCCCCGAAGAGGUUGCCCCGGAUGAACUCUCCGCAGAAAUCAUGCUCUUGUCCUCCAAUAUCCCACAAGGCGCUAUCCGAAGCUUCGUACUGUGUGAUUCCGAACAUCCGAGUUUGCAAUCAGGGAGCGUUUUUAGUACCAUCCGACGUGGCUUUUGAGUGCGCGGAUGGCAGUGUUUGGAAUCGAGCGCAGCACAUACUUCGACGGCAGCGUCAGGAAAGAUUCGCCUGUCGCCUACCGACGCACUCGAAACGUGAAUUGUGCGGAAUACGCCGAGUAGUAUAUCCCAAUCAAUUAUGUCGACUAAUGAAAGUGUCGUGUCGUCGAACUCCCAUGACUGAAAAGCGUGAUGCGGGAAACGGGAGACAACGACCAGCACCCGAAAUUGAAUGGGGAAUGCAUAACGGGCAUCUCAGUGAUAACAAGUUGUCGCUGGGAGUUCCACAAGCAACCUGUGAAAUGCUGGUUGAGAGGAUACACGAGCUGCUUGAAAACAGGUGGGAUACCGUACAAGAAGGGCCGCCGGAAGCUUCUGUCAUGCCAUACCAGCCCGUCGACGUGACAGAACAAGGAACCAAGUCAUUCGAACCCGAGUCGUCGCUUCAUCCCUCGGAAAACUGCGUUGAAAAAUGCGCAGACCCAUCUCCGAACCCAAAGCCACUCGGUGACUGCAGUCCCAAUUCGAAAACAAUAUUCGCUGAGGAAGAGCCGAGCUUUGAAAGGCAUAGCGAACAUCACCUCUGCUUUCCCAGCACACCUUCAUUAAUGAAUGGAACAGAUUCUGUGGAAGAACCGAAUGCAGAAAAAUGUGCAUGGGUAACCUCAUGGUUACCUCCGCCUAUGGUAACGCAAGCAGAUAAUCAUGCUGUUCAUCGCUCCUUGCGAAUCGGCGAACAAAAUGUGCAUUACGCAAAGCCACCGAAAAGAGAAGUAAUGGAUCUCCAUCAAAAUGUUGCAGACGAUGGCGACGAUUUUAUGUAUUGUUCGGCAGUUACUGAGUUAGUAGAAUGGGCGAAAACGUCAAAGAUCACAGAAAGAUCGCAGCAGGAUGUCAGCAUCGAAGUCGACAAUAAUGGAUUCUUCCAACACGAGGCACCAUCAAAAGGGAUUGUCGUGAGCGAAACCACUGUGGCGCCAAUCGGGAAAAAUAUGAAACUGAAGCUCGUACCACCGUCAUCGCAACAAAAACGCGAAGGUCAUUCCUCCAUCAAGUCCACAAACCUUGGGGGAAAAACCGUGCACUCUCAUGAAAAGAAGGCGCCGAACAACAAAGCAGCACCGUCACAGGAACAGCGUUUGCCGUUUGAAGAUUCAUCAGCACAAAAUGAUUUAACGCCACCUGUGCGAGAAAAUGAACCAGAAAAUGGCGUAGAGCUUUCGAAAGAAAAAUGUACACUGAAGGAAAGGUCGCCAGCACAGAUAAAUCUAUGCAAAUCUAUAGAGAGAUCCGUGAAAAUUAAAGCGUCUGGAAAGAAAGCAGCAAGAACUAAGAAAAAGCGUGCGCCAAACAAGAUGUCAACCCGAAUAAACCUUCCGCAUGUGACACAGAUGACAUUCGAGACCGAAGAAAUGUUCUCAGAAACAGGGAACAUUUCAAAUUCUAUCGCAACUGGUUGCACAAAUGCACGGAUGACCUUGACGGUUGCCACGACGGCAACGGAACAGUCAUAUCCGGUAUGUCUUUCGGAACUGAACCAAGUUAUGUGCUCAGACAGCGCUGAGCUGAUACAAAAGGCGAAUGCUGCAGAAUGUUUGGAGGUGGGCAGGUGGCAGAAGACUCCGUGUACGAAUGAAAAAUAUAUUGGCGACGAUUUGAUGAAGUCCGAGUGCAUGAUGAUGAGAUCUAGGCUAUGGACGGAAGUGGUUUUAUCGAGAUCAAAACCGGAACCUCAAGACAAUGACUGUUCACCUGAUGGCGCCGUAAAAGAAUGGUUCCCAUGUUCCACUUCACCGCAUGAUCAGGAGCUCGGUGAAACGCAAGUGUAUCAUAAACCAAAGGAAAGGAAAGAGAUUGAAGCUAGUAUUAUCGGUGGGGCACUACCGAUUCAUGACCUUGAUAUCCCGGCUGUCAACCGAAAACUCUCGAGAGCAGCUGAAAAGUGUCAACGUAAUAACCAAGACACCAGCCAAGCCAUAUGGCAAAGGGAAGGUUGGGUCGAUUUCCCAAACGACACACUGGAAGAAAAUUCCGAAAAAUCUUGUAGCCUGGAUGAACCCAACAACUGGCAGUGGGAUUUAGGGGAACAGGAGUUGGAACCUCGGGAGAUUCCUGUGCUAUUCCCAUCUUCAAACAGCGCGAGCGCGUCUUGGGAAGUCCGUUGUCUGCAUUGUUCUAUUCUCCAAGCGCAAGCCUGCAAUCAUCCAUGCGAUGCCGAUCUGUGUAAAUCUGACUAUCGUAGCAGUCAACCCUGGGCACCAGAUUCUGAUAGAUAUGCCGCUACUAGCAAGUCUUACGGUAGGCAAGACCACUUGAGCAGGCCUUCUACUGAUGGCACCUUAUGGAAAAUGGAACGCUCCCAGCAAGCAUCUCCGAACUGUCAAUCCUCGUUCUCUUAUUCAGAUCGACUUUCGUUUUUGGGGCCUGAGAAACGCCCUUCAACUUAUUCACGCCAUCCCGCAUUCGAAAUCAGAGAUACGAACUGUCUCUACCCACCAACACGCCCACGUAACAGUCCGCCACAAUUCUCAUAUGCAAGCCAGUGCCCUGCUCGUGGCUCGAACGCAUUCGAAGUCAAAGAUACGAACUGCCUCUACCCACCGUCAUGCCCAUGUAACUGUCCGACACAAUUCUCAUAUGCGAGUCAGUGCCCUACUCGUGGCUCGAACGAGGUACGGGAUCCUUUCAGUGAGUCUGAAAGUAGAAAUACGCCGUACGACACAGUAGACCGAAGGCCAGAAUCUUGGAAAAAUCUGUCAGUUUCCCGACAUUAAAUAACAGGUCGCACACUAUCGAAUCAACUAGCAGUCUGAAUUGCUUUAGCAAGCCUGUCACGUGCGGUAUGUCAUGAAGCUUUGGCAACAAGAAGCUGAACAGAACUUGCCCCUGCCGCAACAAGGUCGUCUGGCACUUCAGGAUCGCAGCGACACGCCAGCUGAUUUCGGCCAUCGGAGAAGAGGUGAUAAAAUGUUUUUCGCUCCACCAUAAACGCUCGUUUGUGUUAAACUUGCCACAGUCCCUCUGCAGAAAUCGUCGGGUAACAGAGGGCGCAGAUCUUCUACAUUCGUGAAACAUUGUUCUCAUAUGCAGGAAGCCUUCGAAAUGACUAGCCUCAAGAUUUCCUUAUCCUAAAACGUCUGUGUUGGAUCAAAUGGCUGCGAGAUUACUGGUCAUCGUAGAAUCGGAACUCGCGCCGCCAGUUUCAUGGCGCAAUUAAGUGCAAUUUCUGAAUGCCCUGGUAUGUCUAGAAGCAGCCUGUCCAAACGAGUGCGAUCCUUCCAGAAAAGGCAGCACAAGAGGCCCUCAUUUGAAACUAAGCAUGGGACACGUUCUUGCUUUCUCGUAAAUGUAAGGCUCGAGCGUCCACUGCAUUUGUUGAUUUCAAAAGCGAACGGCUGCAGAAACUCUAUUCCAGUGGUUCCUGGAGGCAAGAACCACGUGCGGACUCCAUUCUGUCAACAAGUUUCACAUCGCUCUUGAAUAAGCUACACUGAGAUGAACUAAAGGCUUAUCUUGAAGCCAGAAGACAAGGUGCACCGCGGGUACACGUGGCGUCCAUAAGCACGUUCGCGAACGCCCAAGUGCACAAUCUCGUGCUUGCUUUUAAAAAGUCUGGUUUUAAACAUUCACGAAGAUGAUGGAAUUGACGAAAUAAAGUAUCCUUCAAAUGA